AACAGUUGAAAAAAGAAAGGAAAAGAGCAAGUGGGCAUAAAAUUGAUGUCAACCCAACGUGAGAAAGGGGCUGAUCCACAAAUGCUGUAAUGGUCCUUCUCUGUGUUACCCAACGGGGUGGCCAACCGACAAUGGUUGCUUUUCUGGGUCCCAUUCUUUAUCAUGGGCCCCACUGUUUCCCUUCUUUUCUUUCUUCCCCUUGUGGGUCCUCUCUGCCUUCACAUACAGCUGAAGAAUGCUUAGGUCUCUUCUUUAUUUUUCUUUCUUUUUCAAGUCUUUUUACAGUUUGCAAUACUGACUCAUUAGGCUCUUAAUUCUUGAA
rnacentral:lncRNA from 1 species